rnacentral:tRNA from 1 species
GGCUGGUUAGCUUAGUCAGUAGAGCGUAGCGCUAACAGCGUUAAGGUCGCGGGUUCGAUUCCCGUUCGGUCC